UACGGGGGAUGCGAGCGUUAUCCGGAUUUAUUGGGUUUAAAGGGCGCGUAGGCGGGACGUCAAGUCAGCGGUAAAAGACUGCAGCUAAACUGUAGCACGCCGUUGAAACUGGCGCCCUGGAGACGAGACGAGGGAGGCGGAACAAGUGAAGUAGCGGUGAAAUGCAUAGAUAUCACUUGGAACCCCGAUAGCGAAGGCAGCUUCCCAGGCUCGAUCUGACGCUGAUGCGCGAGAGCGUGGGUAGCGAACAGG
rnacentral:rRNA from 1 species